rnacentral:lncRNA from 1 species
AGAACUGCAUGCAGUGCAUGACAUUUUCCAUGCCAAUAUGCUGCAGCAUGCAACAUAUUGGUAUGGAAAAUGUCAUGGAAGAUGAUGGGCACUGCAUGCAAUUCUUGGAAUAUCUGAAUGGGGGCCAUAUUGAACUUUGUGUAAUUAACGGUAAAUGUUGGCACGUAUUGUUUAGAGGCUUGGUGUGUCUUGUCUCAUUUGGUGAUUAUACGUUCCUUAAUCGCACAUUCUGUACUUUUGCAGCAUCACAAUCCCCCUGCUGGUGAUUUUUGGUACUAAAUUUUUUUCGGAAUCGAAACCGCAUGUUCCACUGUGUACGUCCACCAAAUUUUGUUCCAUUUCGUCCAAUACAUGAUGCGCUGGAGCUCUGAACACUUCAUGUUAUUUUAUGGCCACCCAGUACAAUACCUCUAAUGGUAUUUGAUUAUGUGGAUUCAGUCUAAUCACUAAGAUCGGAAGA